rnacentral:lncRNA from 1 species
CUGAUAUUUGACGUGCAAGCAAAGAUUCGUUCCCAUGCAAACUAAUUAGCCUCGGCAAUUUUUAGAUCAAAAAUUUAUUGAGAAAUAGGAUAGAAGAAAUAUUUCUUAAAAUCAAAUGAAACUAGGACUUAAACCCCAGAGUUCUUUGUCUUAACAUCUAUAAACUUUACCAACUACAGUAGGUCGCACCCUUAAUCUAUCUAUAUAAUAUACUACAGCAGUUCCAUCAUGGGCAUUUAAUGGGGUAUUUGAGGCUUAUGUGUCAAAUUUUCAGCCCUCCACCUUAGAUGUACAUAUAGAUCUAAAAAAACAUUAUGCCGCCCAAUUAGUUCUCUCCAUACAUGGCACUUCUUUAUAUCAGCAAUUUUUGCCCCAAAUUUUUUAACAAAAACAUAUUCUUUUAAAAAUUUUAACAUCACAUUUUUAUUUUUUAAAAAAAAUUCAUUUCUAUAUCAAAGAAUACCUUUACUAGUAUAUUUUAACAUAAAUGGAGAAUUUUAAUAUAAAUGGAGAAUUUUUCAUAUCAAUUACUCAUUUUUCUUAAUUGUUUCUUUCAAUUUUGGGGCCACGAGCUAUAGAUCAGGUAGAGAAAGAGGAUAAUUAAUAUUAUAACUUAGUAUUUUUGCAUCUUGGGGAGCACAAAAUGUUUUAAAAAUAGGAAUUAUUGGGAAGCAUGAAUAACAGCUCCCAAUUUCUUUGGUUUCCCCAAUUAACACUUACCAAUAAGAAUUAUCUAAAUAAAUAGACUUUCAUUUUGAGAAUUAUCUAAUUAAGUAAUAUAUUUUGAUCAAUCUUGAAAAAAAAAGUGUCAUUAUUAACAACUGGACACCAUUAAUGCUAAUUCCACGGACCAUUAAUGAAAGUUUUGAAAUUAACCAAUUACCUAGGUAAGCAUGAAUAGCGGCUUUCAUUUCCUUUUCUUCAACCAUUAUCCAUGAUUUUACAUUCUUUACUCUAUUAUAAAGCCCAAUAGAUAGAAUAGUGUUUAGACCAAAUUCCUCAUUCUGUCCAUUGCAUUGAGU